UUGAAUUUGGUUUGUGUUUAAAGGAGGAAAGUAAUUCUCAACCUUUGCAAGAAAAGUGAGAAGACAGUACAAGGGAAAAAAAAAGUUGAAUUUCACAGGGAUGAAUCAGCACAACCUGAGUGAAUAACACAAUAUCCUUUGGUGCUACCAGCUCACUAGGGCUAACCAGAAGGUCACUUCAGGAGACUGAGAUAAAUUCUCAUGAGGGAAAAGGCCUAACAGAAGAGUGCCAAGUUUUGUAUGAUUUACUUAGGUAAGAAUAACUUUGGAACAAAUCUGGAAAAAAGGGUGAGACUUCUAUUACUUACAGACUCUUUGUGAGGAGAUGAAGCUUAUAUCAAAGUAUGGAACUUAUAUGGGAGCCACUGGAGAGAUAUUUAACCUGUCAGUUUACUUACCACCUGCAGCCAUUAGAGGUGAUGAGGUCUUAUGCUACCUCACUGGGCAUUAUAAAGAUCAUAGCUUUGAAUUGAAGCUAAUCAGAAAACUUCACAAAGAAUGUUCCUUUUAAACACCGAUCUUCACUCAGAAAAGUGAGACUCCUCCAGCUCUCACUCUAGUUUUCAGCUGCAAGUCCACUUCUGUGGAACUUUGCACCCCAAUUACCAAUAUAAGAAACUGAUGACAGGAUUUUCAUGAUACUAUUGAUUCCAGUGAUCCCAGAAGACCACCAGCCCAAAGCACAGCUAUUCCUCCAAGACAUUUCCAUUCAUCGCCCUCCUGGGGAACAGGAAUGAAUGACAAGUUAUUAAAAAUCAGUGACUCCACUGCAACUCGGUUUGAGUGGCAGGAUAUCUCUGCCAAUGACUCCUGGACUGUGGCAUCUAAGAUGUGGAGAAGUGCACAGAAUGUUAAACUGGCCUCGUAGAGGACAUGGAAACACAAUGAUUGCUCAUUGCUACUAAUUUAUUUUUCAUGUUACACAAAUAAAAUAUGCUAGAAACUGUGAAGAUCCUCAGAUUUUCUCCUUUUGGACACAUAAUCACAGUGCAUGAUAUCUACAUAAAGGACAAACGUUUGGAAUUACAAUGUAUCUGCUGAAUUUUCCUUAAGGUUAGAAACUUCAGAGCCUUACAGGUAAGAAGUGAACACAGAAUAUAUUUUUUCAAUGUUUUUCAAUCUGAAAAAUUAAGAAGUCAUUAUUAGACUAAAAUUAGUUUAGGAGGAAUCCAUUCAGAUUUCUGAAACUUAAAUUAUAAUAAAGGUAUUGACUGCAGCUACAGUUUCAAUACUAGUCUAUAAAUGGAUCUGGUUGUUUCUAUUAAAUUAGUGACUGUGUGGUGUAUGAUGACAAGCUAACUAGGAGAGAAUAAAAACAGGAUUUCUAAGUGAUUUUCAUGGAGUGGUUAAUUUUCAGGUUAGCUACCAGUUGUCUCCUAACUUUGCA